AUCCCAUGAUGAGGACAGGCGGCUACAUACUCCUGAAGAUGUUCCCAUGCUUCGGGAAUUGUCUCAUCCCUAGUCUGCUGAAAACUUGAUAUUCUCCCGCGAAGGGC
rfam:Oryza meridionalis cultivar OR44 (W2112) chromosome 4, whole genome shotgun sequence.